rfam:Oryza rufipogon genomic scaffold, chr09
AAAAAGACAAUUCAUGGGUUUCCGUGUCCAACUUUAACUAGCCGUCUUAUAUAAAAUUUUUUUAUAAUUCGUAUUUUCAUUGUUGUUAGAUGAUAAAACAUGAUUAAUAUUUUAAUUUUUUUUCAUAAUUUUUUAAAUAAGACGGACAGUCAAACGUUGGGCACGAAAAACAGGGUUUGUCUUUUU